GGGGACAAAGGCUUCGGACUGGGGCUUUUCUCGGGCCUAGGGCUCUUCCCCGCAUCUCUAUUUGCCUAUCUGUAAAGUGCGUGCAAAGUUCCCUCUCAGCUCCAUGUCAGAGAGCUUUAAACGGAGAUUGUGAGGAAGUGUCCCGCAUCACGCGGAUGGGAGCUCUUGGGGCCUCCCAGGCUGGGAAACUGAAGCCCGAGCGGGGGCUGACUCGUCCGACGCGCCCCAGAGAGCGAGGAGCAAGCCGGUUUCCAGCCAUACCAAUUUCAACCUUGAAUACUGGGAAUAAGAGAGAUGGGUGACAUCUGAUUUAUGAAAUAUUAUGUUGUGAUCUUCCCAACCUUCUGAUGUUGCAGUGUAGGUAUUGCUUUUCUUUUUCACAAGGGAGGUUCAGAGAGAAUGAUUUGUGCAAUGCUACAUGGCUAAUAUGUAUCAGAGGUAAAUUCUGAGCCCAGGUCCCAACCUAACUCUUUAAGUUAAGCACUCACUAUUGGAUACUUCUUAUGAGCAAAGUGCUUAGUAAACCUUAAAGUACUUUGUAAGUGGGAGCUACUAAUAUUAUAUGUAAUGGAACUGGCAUGUAUGCAGAACACUUCCAACAGUAAAGGACUUGGAGAACUUACCUCCCGGAGAGUUGUGAUGAUGUGUAAUGAAAACCUCUAGGUGAGACUUGAUUAUGUAUAGGCAUUCUGUAACUGGAUCCUGUUGCUAACCAUAUAUUUAGAUGAAGCCUUUCUGAUUGGUUAUGUGGUCAGAAAUGUGGAUGUCUUAGAAACGGCUCUAGUGACUUGAGCCUCGACUGAAUAUUUUUGCUUUUUAGCUACCUGAUCUUGGAUUGACUCUUGACCAACAGCAUUUGCCAAGAGACAAUGCUGUAGUGGCAGCUAGGUGGCUCAGUGGACAGAGCACCGGCCCUAGAUUCAGGAGGACCUGAGUUCAAAUGUGGCCUCAGACACAUAACACUUAACCAGCUGUGUGGCUCUGGGCAAGUCAACCCCAAAUGCCUUGCAAAAAAAAGAAAGAGACAAUGCUGCUGUAAGGCAGAGGUGUCAGACAUACAGCCAGUUGGCUCAGUGCAUCAGAAUAUUUAAGAAACAAAUAAUGUUAAUAUGUGGUUUUCUAGGUCAAUAUGUAGCCUAUUGGGAUCUUUAUGUAUGAUGUAAUGGCCCCUUUUCUGAGUUUGACACUUGUAAGGAGAAUGGCCUGGGACUUUCUCCCUGAUGAGUCUGAUAGAUGGUCAGUCUCUUUGCCUCUGCAUUAUGUUCUUUUCUAUUUUAGAUGAAGGGAUUUGAGACUGAUUUU
rnacentral:lncRNA from 1 species